rnacentral:rRNA from 1 species
AUUGAACGCUGGCGGCAGGCUUAACACAUGCAAGUCGAGCGAGCGGCGGACGGGUGAGUAAUGUCUGGGAAACUGCCUGAUGGAGGGGGAUAACUACUGGAAACCGUAGCUAAUACCGCAUACCAUCAGAUGUGCCCAGAUGGGAUUAGCUAGUAGGUGGGGUAAUGGCUCACCUAGGCGACGAUCCCUAGCUGGUCUGAGAGGAUGACCGGGCGACCUGGAACUGAGACACAGGCCAGACUCCUACGGGAGGGAGUAGUGGGGAAGAUUGCGCAAUGGGCGCAAGCCUGAUGCAGCCAUGCCGCGUGUAAGAAGAAGGCCUGCGGGUUGUAAAGUACUGUCAGCGGGGAGGCGUUACCCGCAGAAGAAGCACCGGCUAGCUCCGUGCGAGCAGCCGCGGUAUUC